GACGAACGCUGGCGGCGUGCCUAAUACAUGCAAGUCGAACGCAGUGGGGACGGGUGAGUAACACGUGGGUAACCUCCCAUCAGAGGGGAUAACACUUGGAAACAGGUGCUAAACCGAUACUGAUGGAUGAACCCGCGGUGCAGUAGCCAGUUGGUGAGGUAACGGCUCACCAAGGCCACGAUGCAUAGCCGGCCUGAGAGGGUGAGCGGCCACACUGGACCGUAGACACGGCCCAGAUUCCUACGGGAGGCAGCAGUGGGGAAUCUUGGGCAAUGGGCGAAAGUCUGACGGAGCAACGCCGCGUGAAUGAAGAAGGGUUUCGGAUCGUAAACCUCUGUUGUUGGAGAAGCGGUAUCUAACCAGAAAGCCACGGCUAACUACGUGCCAGCAGCCGCGGUAAUUC
rnacentral:rRNA from 1 species